GUCUAUGGCCAUGCCACCCUGAAUAAGCUUGAUCCCAUCUGAUCUUGGAAGCUAAGCAGGGUUGAGUCUGGUUAGAACUUGGAUGGAAGACCACCUAGGAAGAAAUGAAAAAUAAGGGAU
rnacentral:rRNA from 1 species